UACGGGGGGGGCAAGCGUUGUUCGGAAUUACUGGGCGUAAAGGGUUUGUAGGUGGCUUGCUAAGUCAGACGUGAAAUCCCUCAGCUUAACUGGGGAACUGCGUCCGAUACUGGAUGGCUUGGAUUUGGGAGAGGGAUGCGGAAUUCCAGGUGUAGCGGUGAAAUGCGUAGAUAUCUGGAGGAACACCGGUGGCGAAGGCGGCAUCCUGGACCAAUAUUGACGCUGAGGAGCGAAAGCUAGGGGAGCAAACGGG
rnacentral:rRNA from 1 species